UGGGGAAUUUUGCACAAUGGGGGAAACCCUGAUGCAGCGACGCCGCGUGAUUUAGAAGGCCUUCGGGUUGUAAAAAUCUUUUCUAUGGGAAGAAAAUGACAGUACCAUAGGAAUAAGGACCGGCUAAUUACGUGCCAGCAGCCGCGGUAAUACGUAUCGAGCGAGCGUUGUCCGGAAUUAUUGGGCGUAAAGGGUACGCAGGCGGUUUAAUAAGUAGAAUGUUAAAGAUCGGGGCUCAACCCCGUAAAGCAUUGGAAACUGAUAGACUUGAGUAGUGGAGAGGAAAGUGGAAUUCCUAGUGUAGUGGUGAAAUACGUAGAUAUUAGGAGGAAUACCAGUAGCGAAGGCGACUUUCUGGACACAAACUGACGCUGCGGUACGAAAGCGUGGGGAGCAAACAGG
rnacentral:rRNA from 1 species